AGAGUUUGAUCAUGGCUCAGGACGAACGCUGGCGGCGUGCCUAAUACAUGCAAGUUGAACGAUGAUUUCUGGUACUUGUAUCAGAAUGAAGAGUAGCGAACGGGUGAGUAACGCGUGGGUAACCUACCUCUUAGCGGGGGACAACUAUUGGAAACGAUAGCUAAUACCGCAUAACAAUGUUAAACACAUGUUUAACAUUUGAAAGUACCAAUUGGUACACUAGGAGAUGGACCCGCGUUGUAUUAGCUAGUUGGUAGUGUAAUGGACUACCAAGGCGAUGAUACAUAGCCGACCUGAGAGGGUGAUCGGCCACAUUGGGACUGAGACACGGCCCAAACUCCUACGGGAGGCAGCAGUAGGGAAUCUUCGGCAAUGGACGAAAGUCUGACCGAGCAACGCCGCGUGAGUGAAGAAGGUUUUCGGAUCGUAAAACUCUGUUGUUAGAGAAGAACGUUGUGUAGAGUGGAAAAUUACACAAGUGACGGUAUCUAACCAGAAAGGGACGGCUAACUACGUGCCAGCAGCCGCGGUAAUACGUAGGUCCCGAGCGUUGUCCGGAUUUAUUGGGCGUAAAGCGAGCGCAGGUGGUUUAAUAAGUCUGAUGUAAAAGGCAGUGGCUCAACCAUUGUGUGCAUUGGAAACUGUUAGACUUGAGUGCAGUAGAGGAGAGUGGAAUUCCAUGUGUAGCGGUGAAAUGCGUAGAUAUAUGGAGGAACACCGGUGGCGAAAGCGGCUCUCUGGACUGUAACUGACACUGAGGCUCGAAAGCGUGGGUAGCAAACAGGAUUAGAUACCCUGGUAGUCCACGCCGUAAACGAUGAGUGCUAGUUGUUUGGGGCUAUCCAGCCCUAAGUGACGCAGCAAACGCACUAAGCACUCCGCCUGGGGAGUACG
rnacentral:rRNA from 1 species